CUCUGUACUAUCAGCAGAUAGAUUGGGGACCGUGAAAGAAGGGGAGGAUCGGAGAAGACAGGAUCAAACAGGCUUUUUACACAAUAUGGAGGAUUAACACCUUGGGUUCCACAGUGAGUAUAACAAGCAUGCUUUAAUGCACUGUUGUAGGUUUAGUAACACUUAAAAUUGCGCAUAUAUAUAAUAAUAAUGAUAUAUAGGUGUAAACAAACCUCAGACGUGAAAUAUAAAGAAAGCAUAUCCCCCUCUAUAGUGUACUUGCCUCAAUUAGGAGCACUAAACAAAGGAUUUCUGCUGGCAGAACACAAAAGCACUGCGGGAAGGAUUCCUCCAACAACUGUGUUGAUGGGGAAAUCGAGAAUUUUUUUUCCCUAAGAAUAAUGCAUUAUCUAUGAGCUGCCUUAUUGUAAAAGAAAUUUAUCGGUACAGUAUAUAUAGCUGGCAAAAAUAGCCAAAUCUGGUUGUCAGUCUCUUAAUACAUUGUAGAGCAGCAUGCAGAGAGGAGGUGGCUGCCUUGUAAACCAAGUCUCUUGCAUUGCAUGGCAUUGUCCUUAUAAGACAGAGAGCUUCCUGCAGGGGGUAGAGGGCAGAGUGAUGACCUCAUCAGCAUGCUUCUGCUCUUUGCUUUCCAUUCACAGACUGGUCCGGGUCUGAGAAUUGGCGCAACUGUAACGCAGCCUGUAGGGGUCUCAAGGUCACACAGCCUGUAGGGGGCCUCAAGGUCACACAGCCUGUAGGGGGCUCAAGGUCACACAGCCUGUAGGGGGCCUCAAGGUCACACAGCCUGUAGGGGGCCUCAAGGUCACACAGCCUGUAGGGGGCCUCAAGGUCACACAGCCUGUAGGGGGCCUCAAGGUCACACAGCCUGUAGGGGGCCUCAAGGUCACACAGCCUGUAGGGGGCCUCAAGGUCACACAGCCUGUAGGGGGCUCAAGGUCACACAGCCUGUAGGGGGCCUCAAGGUCACACAGCCUGUAGGGGGCCUCAAGGUCACACAGCCUUUCUGUGCUGUCUGGCAGGGGGGCCCGGAUUACAAAAACUAGCUUCACAGAAUAAAACAUGGUUCCGCAAGUAGAACAGCCGUAGUACUGCAGUAUCUCCAUCGUCUGUCCCCUCUUUCUCUCCAUCCUCAUCUCAUGAUAUCAAUGUCUGACCCAUCCUGUGUCUCAUUAAUGUGGAUUCUGUCCUGUGUUUCUCUCUGUAAUCUCAAUAAAAUCUUCUGCUUACA